UUUUGAGAAGUUGCUAAGGAUCUUCUUACUGCCAAAUGACUGUAACUUCAUCCCAAUGGGAUUUGCAAUAGAGCUCAUCCAUGCAGCAGUAAAGCCAAGGUUUUCUUUUCUUUUUUAGACUGUAAUCAUCUUUGUAGCAUAUUGUUCUGGGAUCAGCACCUUUGGGGAUACAUUAGUACGGCGAUUGACGGAAAGAAGCUGAAGAGGGAAACCAAAGUGAACCCAGCCAAGGCAAGAUAAGCUUCUCUCGCAGCCAUGCUGGCAGAUUUCUUUUGCCUUCUUUAUGACACUCCUUCAGCAGUUGAGGCACAGACUGAGAUUAUUCAGCUCCAAAAUGAUGACGUCCAGAACUGUGGAACUGUGGUAACUUACCAGGAGUAUUGCAUUGCAAGGAACAUCUUGCUGGCUGAAGUUCCUCCCCAUUUUGUACAGACAGAUCAGUUUUCCUCAUGCACAAGAGCAAUAGUUUUCUCCAUGAUACUUGAAAAGUGAGUACAACAUAAACUAAAGUUCAGAUUCUUCUAGCUCCUUCCUUUGCUGACUGCCUUUUGCAUUUGUUAGCACCCUUUUGUGGAAUGUGCCAUACACACAGAAUACACAAGAGUUCUCACCCUAUCUUUUGCCCCCAGGAGAUUAGACUGGCACACACAAAGUACAUGAUUGCUUUUGACUUCACUUCCCUGCCUGUCCUUCUUCCUGACUGAGAUUCAGCAGCUUCUGCAAUACAACAAGUUCCUGUCAGCUGUUAGGGCACUAAAAUAAACCUUUAUCUUGUCUUCACA